ACAAUUUCAAUCUUAGGCUUAAAUAUAAGUAUCCUGAUUAUUAAUAUUGAUUUAAGUAAUCUGUGUGAGUGCUGCUUAAAUGUACUGUUAAUAUAUUGUGAGCAUCUAGAGAAAGUGCAAGUCCCCUGAUUCUCCAUUGUUAGAGUUUUCUGUGUAGAGAUAAUUAGUAAAUGUCACUACUACACAUAUGACUACAAAUAAUUUCCAUUAAAAACAAAUUAUUUUUCAAACAAGUGAACAGUAACUUUCUGAAAACAGAAAUAACCAAGAUAAGAACAAAGGUAGAUGUUGUCUGUUAAUAAUUGGAUUGAAUUUACACGCAAUGCUCCAUUACUGACAUUGCAGAAACCACAUUUAGACAACACAAAUCAAUUUCUUUCAAACUUCAGGGUAACUCAGAUGUAGCUGGAAGCCACAAGCCAUUGAUAUUUGUCCCUGAACAUUGCAUUUUAUAGAUGCUUUAGUUUGUCAGUUUAACACAAUUUAAACUCAGUACUCACCAUAUGAAUUUAUGCUUUUUAUUUACAACAUUUAUUUUGUAAAAGAAAUGAUAAGUUAAAGACUGGUAAGGUGAAGCAUGCCUCUAUUCCCAGCACUCCAAAGGGAGGAAAGAAGAGAGAGGGAGGGAGAAAGGGAGAGAGGGAGGGAAGGAGAGAGGGGAGAGGGAGAGAGAAAGAAAGAGGGAAGGAGAGGGGGAGAGAAGGAGAGAGAGAGAGAGGGGCAGGGAUGAAGGGAAGGAAGAAGAGAGGGAGGGAGGGGGAGAGAGAGAGAUAAAAUGCAGGAUAGAGAAUUGAAGUAGACUUACUGAAGUUUAGUAUCACAAGACAGAGAUGUUGCAAUCUACCAAAGUUUGAGCUCACUGGCUUCUAGCAUGCUCCCUCGUCUCCCCAGGCUGGAGCAAACCUGCUGACCAGAGUCUCUGGGCAGCGGAAGCAUGGGAGCCUCAUGCUCGGCUACUCGGCUACUCUGCUGCUCCUACAAUCUUCCAGAGGAGAAAGCACAGGAACCUGCUGCCUCUGUGAGGUGGACACUUGUCCUGUAAAGAACAGCUGUGCAACAGGCUUUCUGCAUGUAUUGGUUAGGGAAAACUACUGAAGAACAACCAAAGCCUUUUAUAUCCUUGCAGUAUUUGUAAUAGUCCUGUAAACAAAUUAUCAUAGGAUUUACAUAAGCUUUGCACCGCUGCUCUAACACUCUAUGCUUCUGCACCUUAGUUUAAAUCACUUGACAAUGAUUUUGUGGGGAGAAUAUGCCAUUAUUACCAUGGAAGAGACUCAUCUCUCUUAUCGCCAUGCUUAUUAUACCACAGACAUUUUCAUCAACCGAAUUAUGACAUCAGGAAUUUUUCCCAUUAAUUAAUUUAUUUACUCCCUUUACAUGUAGAUCAAACCCCUUCUUUCCCCUCAGUGCCCUCCUCAGAGGCCCCUCCUUCUACUCCCCCUCCCUUCACCUCUGAGAAGAGGGAGGUCCCCCUCUGGUACCAUCCCUCCCUGGCACUCCAAAUCACUGCAGGAAUUUCUAAGUUCUAAAUAUAAAUGAUCUCUUAUUAAUUUAAGAUAAUAGAUAUAAAGAUACACACAAGGAAAAUUAGUAAAUAAAAGAAAAACAUGUCUGCUUAUUGCAGAUUUAAUAUUAUUAAUAUUAAAAUCUUUCUCUCCCUCGUGACUAUCCCAAGUGUGGAGAAUAAGUUACAGAGGAGGCUCAGACCUAGACAAAAUCCUUUGUAUUACCCCUCCAAUGCUCAUGGAAGACUGGAGAAGAGGAAACAGAAGGUAAAAAGCCAAAGAAUAGGGAGGAAGGCAGCAAAAUUUCAUCCUCUAGACAGAGAAUCAGCCAGUGGAAUCCAGAACUAAGAGCACCUUGAGAAGAUAGACUCCACAGUCACUAGUGUAUGAGGCUCAGUGUUUAUGGGACCCUAACAUACUACAGAGCAUGGGCUACUGGUGACGCCUGGUAAGGGGGCGGGGAUUAUUAUCAGUUGUCCAUGCACUGGAGAACUCACCAGACUUAAAUGUAUAGUUCCAAUCCCAAGGUUACCCAGGUGGCCAUGGGGAAUAAAGGAGGGACACAAACAAAAUAUGUAGACAUGAAUUCAAGUAAGAGAUUAGUAUAGAAGAGGAGAAGGGAGACAGAGGAGGGGGGGUCUGAUGAAGGGAUGAGACUGAGAGCAAUUAGAAUUGUGUUCAUGUGUGUGUGUGUGUGUGUGUGUGUGUGUGUGUGUGUGUGUGUGUACGUAUAAAACUGUGACAGAAUAAGUUAAUAGAAAUCAAGGUUGGUCAAAGUAACAACCACAAUAAUAAUAAUGGUGAUGAUGAAGCUGUCAGUGUAUUCAUUACAUGUUGUAGUAGAUUAAUUCCUGAAGGAUGGACACCUCUCAGUAUCCCAGGGUAGCUUUGCAUUUUCUCGAGUACACAGUGUCAUUGGAUGAGUCUCAAAGAAAGUUGAUGUAACAGAAGUGACAGGUUUUUGUAAACCUACAUAGACCAAUAUAUAAAUGUAUAUCUAGCAUAUAUACUUCCAUUCUUCAAAAUUACACCUUUAUUGUGAACACACCACUUUCUCUGAGUAGGUUAAAAUAUAUAACAUUCGAUUAUGAUAGAUUAUUUGUUUGUUUGCAUAUUUACUUGCCAGAAAACAAUGGAUUUUCUUAAGUAAGUAGAAGUUUGGUUGGGUUGGGUUUCCAUGUGUCUCUUCCUAGGCAGACCUCAAAGCAUGAGUUUGGCUUGAAAGCAACUUCUCUAGCAAUUGUGUCAUAAUGACAGCUCUAACAAGCUGUAAGGACCUCUGAGAUCAUCUUAUACAAAAAGAAGAUGAGACCUUCAGAGGUUAAGUGACUGGCUUCAGGUCACAUCGUCUGUACCAAGGCUCACAUGUUCCUGACCCCUGACAGAGUUUUGUGUGAAGCUCUUCUAAAAGGAAGGCUACUAGAGAGCAAUUUGUUUUAUUUUUUUGUUUUUUUUCUUCUCAGAGUUUCAGCUCUGACACUCUUUUGCACAUUGCAUUAGGUGCAAGCCCAGAAACUCUGCCAGCAAACCAGCACUCUUUAAACACUCUGUGACUCUCAGAGACGUGUAAAAUAAAAAGGUUGGAGGUAAUGGUUGCCAGCUUGGAGAGAGAAGCCCUUGCUCGGAGCCAAAUGCAUGCAAAGAACAGAUGAGGCUGUGGGAGUGGGGCUGGCAGGGAGAAGGAGAAAUGAGUCUAUUCUUUGUGAAAACGAAAGUUGAAUAAAUAUCUGGAUAGUUUGGGUGUUAUUAAUUUAGUGAUUCUUUCCAUUUGGAAAGUGAAAAAUUCCUAUCUUCAGAGUGGAUAAUUUCAGCUCACAUUGUUUUCCUGUUUAUCACCAAAUGGUGAUUCUUAUUUGGAAGCAGAAUUUGCUUUAAAUAACAUGCACAUCGAGAAUUAUUUGUUUCUUUUUGAACAAGAUCAUUAUUUUGUGUAUUGAACUUUCUAUAUUUAAGCAGUGACUGGUGUUAAGAUAAUGCAAAGGAAAUAUACCUCAAGAGAUAACAAUUAUUUAAAGUGCUGCUUCAUACAGAUAAAUCUGUUUGAGUAUGGACAUAGUAGGCAAGAAUUCAGUCAUUGUAUUCUACACUGACUGUUUUAAGGUCUCUUAGCAUGGCUGACAUCCUGCAUCCCACAGGCAGCUUGAAGAUUCUUCUUAGCCGAACUGCUCUGGAAGUGCACUCUCUUGGAGCCCAUAGCAGAUGCUGUAUAGGGCCACACUCAAGAAAAAAAUAAGGCUGCAGUGAUACCUUGACAGAAUCCCCAUGCAGGCCUCUAUACUUGCCCGCCUGGAUACUGCAGUGGCUUUUAGAGCAUACCAAUAAUGUCUUUCUCAUUUGCCGAGUCAAUGUGCCAUCUAAUUUCAGAGCAUCUUGAGUUGUUGUUUUUUUGUUUGUUUGUUUUAGUUUGUUUUUUUGUUUGUUUUUUUUAGGAUGUUGGCUAUGUUUGAAAAUUACAUAAAGCAUAACAAUUUUAUCAGGAAGUACAAGUUUUGAGAUUAAAGUUGAGUUUUGUUAUUUGUCGAACAAUAAAUGUAGGUAAUGUAACUCACUUUAGUUUGUAGUUAUAACUUUAAACGGCUAUACCACCUCACCCAUUGGCAUGUGAACCCCUACACAAACAAGCAUGUAGACACACACACACACACAUACACACUUUCAACACAAGUCUUACUUAAAUAGCAUCAAGUACAAACAUUCAGAAGUUUUGCCUUUUAAAUUAUAUGUAUUUACUUAAAGACACUAUUUUAUUGAUUGGAAAUUAAGUCUGGUUAAAUAGAAAAUUUUGUGGGGAGGGGUGCUAUAGGACAUGUCUGAAAUUACAAAACACAUAAUUCUGUAAAUCCUGGAAUUAGAACUCUGCAUGAAAGAUUUUAAUCUGUUUGCUCCCAUUAAACACAUUGUUCUUAAAUUCAAACUCAUUGUUACUAGAUAGAUCUCACAGUAAAAAGAGAGUGAUUAAAUGUUCACAUUACUGUAAGACUGAAUGGAAUCAAAUUCCAACGUGGAGAAUUACUUGAAACUAUUGACUGAAAUUUUUACU
rnacentral:lncRNA from 1 species